ensembl:lncRNA
UAUUGAUGGAGCACUUGAAGAUGGGUCAUUUGGGCGACUGGGAAACGAUGAGCACAAGGCACCAAAUUGCAGAAUAAAGUUGAUUGAAGCAGGGUAGCCACAUCUCUGCCUUUUUGCACUGAAGGAAAUUACGGCAGGAACUGAAAUCACUUGACUAUGGUGGGAAAGAAUGGCCCUGGCAUAAAGAGAAGGCGUACCGGAAAUGGACGAAGACGACGUCAGCGGUCACGUGGAUGGAGACGACGACGUUACGUCAGAAGGAGGAGACACUGGAACCGAUACUCAUACAUGCGACAUCGAGGCAUAAAACAUGAGCACCUCACCUGGAACACAUCUAACGGUUUAUCAACUGGACUCACUUUCAUCCUAAGCGACGUUCAAUACCCUAAAGGAUACUGGGACUACUAUAAAAUCAGAAAAGUUGUUGUUCAAAUAUGGCCGGAAUUCAACAACGUCCCCAUCAACAGAGAAUACAACAAAGUACUGUACGGGACUACAUUCAUCGACCAUGAUGACGCCUCCAUCAGUACAGCUUCAACCCACCCUUUCAAAGAUUACUCUUCCAGAAAAAUGUUCAUAAGCAACAGGCCUCACAUAAGAAUUUUCACACCCAGGCCUAAUAUUGAAAUUUACAAAUCUGCCUCUACAUCAAACUAUGGCUUCCUGAAUGUUAACUCUGGUGCAUGGAUAAAUGAGAUUCAUGAUUCUGUACCCCACUACGGCUUGAAAAUAUGGCUGCCACCUAGCGCUAGCCUUACAGGCACCAUCUCAUACAAGCUGAUCAUCAAGUACUAUGUGUUAUUCAGAAACUGUAUAUAA